GAUGAAGAACGCAGCGAAAUGCGAUACUUGGUGUGAAUUGCAGAAUCCCGUGAACCAUCGAGUCUUUGAACGCAAGUUGCGCCUCAAGCCAUUAGGUUGAGGGCACGUCUGCCUGGGCGUCACAUAUCGUUGCCUGAUGCCAGUUUCCUCGUGAUGGGUGACUGUGCAGGGCGAAUGAUGGCUUCCCGUGAGCAUUGUUGCCUCAUGGUUGGUUGAAAAGUGAGUCCUUGGUAGGGAGCGCCGUGAUAGAUGGUGGUUGAGUGACGAACGAGACCCAAUCAUGUGAGACCCCUACCGAAUUUGGCCUUCAUGACCCACAUGCGUCUUUGGAACGCUCAUGACGAGACCUCAGGUCAGGCGGGGCUACCCGCUGAGUUUAAGCAUAUCAAUAAGCGGAGGA
rnacentral:misc_RNA from 1 species